CCGCCCUACCUCUGCAGCAGUGUAGGAAAGUGGUUAAACCUCACGCUAGGUGGUAUAAAGCAUAAUUUUGGAGGGGAAGUUAACCUUUUACCGCUUGUUUUUGUCCAGGCGAAGAAGCCAAAGCUUGUUUGAAAGAAACAAAGUCUGCACGUAGAUUCCCAGAUCUAUUUUACUGUAAUACAUCUCCACCAUUAACUGUGUAUCAGGCAAUGAGCUUCAUAGCUCCUGGCUACCCGUGCAGAUGCCUCAGGAGGUGCCCUUUAUUGAGGGAUAGAGGGGAAAAAAACUCCUCUUGCUGAUAAGCACGCCCACACGCAGGUAGUCCUCUUGAGACCACACCUAUGUGCAAACAAUGGCCUGGUCUGCAGAAGGUCAAUGAGAGGAAUUCUGGCCAGGAUGCUGGGGAUUCGAUGACCUGACACCAGCAAACACAGGGAUGCACGGGGUGAAAGACGUAAAUUAUGCAUGACCGGACAGACUAUUUCUUUGUUGUUUGUUUACUUUCAUACACAUGAGAAAACAAGAUUUAUAAUGAAGGGACAGUGAAACUGCAAAGUCAAACAUAUGGCAAAAAAAAAAAAGAGGAAACGCCUCAGAUUGCCUCAGGAGUUUGCCGGCUCUGUGACUUCCCCCUACAUUUCACAAGUCAAUAUUUGCCGCGUGUAUUGGCUACAGUAAAUACUGCAGAGUGCUGCUUCUAGAGAAGACUGGGAAUAGAGUUCUCAACCAGCUGUGCUGAAUGCGUCUCCGUAAUGUCAAAAAAUUGGGAGGGGGGCAGGGAGAUGGUAAUAAAGUUUUCUGCAGAGAUGCCUCAAAUCCUCCUUUUUUUUUCAUACCCUUAAUUUGUUCCCUGAGGUGCUGUGAGUGAUUUUCUCAGUUCUUUCUCUUAUAUCAAACAUCGCAGACUAUUAGCUCUCAAUAAUCAUUUGCUGCAACCCAGGACACAAUGAUUUCCCGUGACACAUAAAACUGCAAUAACGUCAGCUUGGUUUCAGAAAUAAUAUUGCUUCAUUUUUUUAUGUCCUUUUCCCCAGCAGGAAAAAAAAAUACCUCCGACUGAGUCACUCGCCUACAUAGGAGGAGAAAAGGACUGUAAAUACUGUAGGUUUCAGAAGGUGAAAUGAUGUAUUUUUGUGUGAGUUUCUGCAAUAAUAUGUGUGGUUCGAAGAAAAAAAAAGAAAAAAA